CCUACGGGAGGCAGCAGUGGGGGAUAUUGCACAAUGGGGGAAACCCUGAUGCAGCGACGCCGCGUGUGGGAAGACGGUCCUCUGGAUUGUAAACCACUGUCCCCAGGGACGAAGAUGACGGUACCUGGGGAGGAAGCUCCGGCUAACUACGUGCCAGCAGCCGCGGUAAUACGGAGGAUCCGAGCGUUAUCCGGAUUCAUUGGGUUUAAAGGGUGCGUAGGUUGUUUUAUAAGUUAGCGGUGAAAUACCGAUGCUCAACAUCGGGGCUGCCGCUAAUACUGUAGGACUAGAGAUCGGAUGCAGCAGGCGGAAUGUGUAGUGUAGCGGUGAAAUGCAUAGAUAUUACACAGAACACCGAUUGCGAAGGCAGCUUGCUAGGCCGGAUCUGACACUGAUGCACGAAAGCGUGGGGAUCGAACAGGAUUAGAUACCCUGGUAGUC
rnacentral:rRNA from 1 species